UGCCAGCCGCCGCGGUAACACGGAGGGUGCGAGCGUUGUCCGGAUUUAUUGGGUUUAAAGGGUGCGUAGGCGGGAUCUUAAGUCAGUGGUGAAAUACUUCGGCUCAACCGGAGAGGUGCACUUGAAACAGCAAGACUUGAAUACGGUAGAGGAGAGAGGAAUUCCUGGUGUAGAGGUGAAAUUCGUAGAUAUCAGGAGGAACACCGAUGGCGAAGGCAUCUCUCUGGGCCGAUACUGACGCUGAGACGCGAAAGCGUGGGGAGCAAACAGGAUUAGAUA
rnacentral:rRNA from 1 species